rnacentral:rRNA from 1 species
GAUCCUGGCUCAGGAUGAACGCUAGCGACAGGCCUAACACAUGCAAGUCGAGGGGCAGCGGAGAGGUAGCAAUACCUUUGCCGGCGACCGGCGCACGGGUGAGUAACACGUAUGUAAUCCACCUGUAACAGGGGGAUAACCCGGGAGAAAUCCGGACUAAUACCCCAUAAUAUGGGCGCUCCGCAUGGAGAGCCCAUUAAAGAGAGCAAUUUUGGUUACAGACGAGCAUGCGCUCCAUUAG